rnacentral:rRNA from 1 species
UGCCAGCCGCCGCGGUAAUACAGAGGGUGCAAGCGUUAAUCGGACUGACUGGGCGUAAAGGGCACGUAGGUGGUUUAUCAAGUGUUGUUUGAAAAUCCCGGGCUUAACCUGGGAGGGUGAUGACAGACUGAUAGACUAGAGUCCAAGAGAGGGAAGGGGAAUUUCCGGAGUAGCGGUGAAAUGCGUAGAUAUCGGAAGGAACAUCAGUGGCGAAGGCGCCUUCCUGGCUUGAGACUGACACUGAGGUGCGAAAGCGUGGGUAGCGAACAGGAUUAGAUA